GAGAGAGAGAGAGAUGUACAGACAGAGAGACAGAGACAGAGAGAGAUGUAGAGUAUCUAUAAAAGUACCAUGACGGUAUUUUCCUGCUCACCUUUGCCGUCCUCGGCGUCUCUGUUCAGUCUCAUGGCUGCCUUCCCUCUGCGUGGAAAAGCUCGCGCGUGUCUAGCAGUCAGCUCGUGCGCGUUUCCUAACCGCUACACUCCAGCAGGAGACCGAAUGGCAGGUUGGAGGGCGUCUUGAGGCCCGCGUGUGACUGCUGGCAGCUGGAAUCAGUUUUUAAACUUAUACAAUGCUUUGAAUCUAAAUCUUCAUCACCAUCAUCUGGAGCACAACCUAGAUAGAUCAAGAGUUACACUAAAAGUAGGUGCACUAUGAACAUCAUAUGCAUAUGUGAUUCUUCUCGAAACUGUAAGUCUGAAGUACACAGAGUUGUACUGAGUCUCUGUGUGCUGUAGCUUUAGUUUACCUUCACUGGAGCUACAAACUCUGUUCUAGCAUGACAAUGUCCCUGUGCACAAAGCAGCUCCAUGAAGAUCUGCUGUAGAGGUGAAGGCUGGAAUAAGAGGAAGAACUCGAGUGUCCUGCACUGAUCCCUGACUCUGACUCAUCCCCACUGAACAUCCCAACAUCAGUGUCUGAUCUCACUGGUGCUCUUGUGACUGAAUGAUCACUAAUCCCCACAGUCACAAUCCAACAUGUAGUGCAAAACCUUAUUAUACCAGUGAAGGAAUGAGUUCAACAAGUACUGUAUACAGGUAUGUGCACAUACACUGUAGUGUCACGGUCACCAACUAUUGUAACACACAACAAUUUAUUUUAUUCUUAUUAAAUAUUUGUAUCUAAAUGUAAAUGACAUUUUAUCACAGUCUACUGAAUGAAUAGAUGAUGAUCUUUUAACUGAAUAUAAGUUUUAACUGUGACAUCUGGAUCAUCAGUGUCUGCAAUGCCCAAAAUGACUUGUGUACUUACAGUGACCUGUGACCUCAUUGCAUGACCUCCAGUUGAGAUCUUCGCUCACAGUCACCUGAUUACUAAUGACACUCACUUGUUUGAAGUUCUUUUAAUCAAUGAUGCGUCUCAAUCCUGCUGUGUCGGGUCUUACUCUCGGAUUGUUGAACAUUUCUAGCCUUCGGAAUCAUCCUGAUUUGAGUAAUGAGAUGAACAGGGACGACGUAGCACAGAUUUACUUAGUGCGGUGACAGAGAGAUCACACAACCAAAUCAGAGGUUAUUAAACUUAUUUCUAGACAUGAGGUGCUCACAUUUUUCUUAUAAUUUUGGUAGAUCAUCUUUUGGUUUCUUUAAAAAAAGAAAUAGUGAAUUUAACUAAAUUGUCUGCCAAGAGAAUAAGCUUAAAAUUAGGAAACGUGUUCAGAAAUAGGUAAAAAAAAAACAUAUUUGUUUUGCAAUAAGAGAGAGAAAAGUGACUAUAUUAAUGUCUUAUUGUUUACACAUGUCACUGGGCUGCAGCACAAAAUAUCUUAACAGUGUAUCUGAAAUUUCACAUGAAAGGCUGAAUCUCAUCAUGAAAUCCCCACCACUUAAUGUCUACUGUGAGACAGUCAUGGGAGUAAAUCAUCUAACAGAAUCUGACAUUCAUUUAUACAGCUGAUUUGAUUAGUGUGCCGUGUUUUAUAGAAUAAACUUGAUUUAUUCCUGACAUUCCUGAUCUGUGCAGGUCCACAUCUGCUUAAUAAGACACUCCCAACUGAUUAUAAAAGGAUUAAAUGAUGAAGUUUCACUAAGUAUUUAUUUUUUUAACCAAACUCCUAAUAAAGCUCUGAGUUACACUGGCUGCUCAAGCAACACUAGCUGCCCUGUAUGGAAUAUGUAAAAAGAAAAAAAGGAAGGAAGAAGAGUAUUUUGGAUAUCACAAUGCACGUUGUUUCCAAAUACUAAUGACAAAACAAUACUUUGUACUUCAGAUACAGGUCUAAAGUAUAAAACCCUGCGCUUGAGUCAUGUCGGUUAUUUAAAUGCAGAGUGUGUGUUGGUGAGUGCAACCUAGCUAAAGUGAUUUAGUAAUUAGCAUCCCAUAAUGAUUUUAGCUGUUGCUAACACUCUGUCACACUUUACAAACAGAUUCCAGGAAGCUUGUGGAAAAUCGGAUGCUUUAUACUCAGACGAGUGCAGGCUGAUGGACUGGGACUCGGCUGUCACUCCGCUGUACUCAUAUAACAGAAGUUACCGAGAGAGCAGACUGAAUAUGUCUGUCUGCUGCAGAACCUACAGAAGAAACAAACAUGUUUAAAAAUAGACCGUCUUGACUCUCAUAUUGAUCUGCAGAAUUAUUUUGAUACCAGCUGUCAUGAUCGGUUGAAGUGAAGGAGUGAACUAGUGUGCGUGAGGUUUGAAGUAGACAUUAUAUUUAUAAAUUAGGAGGAAAACCUACCCAGAAGCACUGAGAUGUGAUGCAAUUUCGGUUUAAAGCAUGAAACAAGUAAACAAAAGGCAUGUCCUGAAUGAUAAAAUAGCAAGGAGAAAGUCAAACACACUCCACACACACACUACAUACCCCUCACAUCAUCUUUAAUUCAGAUUAGCUCUAUUCAGACAUUUCCUCUUCAUCUCCUAUAGUACAUGAAUAAUAAAAAACCCAGAGCUAAGGGACUAAAUGCUGCAGUUUCUUAACAUCAGUGGAAUCUAGUCCUUCUGGUUACUAAUGUGUAGGCCAAAAAACACAUAAACUUUACUUCAAACAGGAAAGAAAAUCUAUAUGAGACUUUUGAGCUUGCUGUGACCUUGACUCCUGUUUUUCAAUUCAAAUCACAUGUCAAACUACAGUGAAUACAGUGUGGCCUACAAACUUGGCUGCUGAGGGCUACAACACCCAGUAAGCUCAGACUCUCGCUUUCUUACUCACCUGAUCACAUACCUGGACUUUCAGGUUCCCCUCGGAUCAACUGACGAGAAUCUCAGACACGUGACAUUAAAUCUAAAUGUCUAUCAGUGUGAAAGUGGCAUCAGUGCAGCUGAGUCUGGCUGCAUCUGCUUUUUAUCUGUGUAUGCUUGAGGAUUUGACUCGCUCAGAUUCUGAAGCUCCAUGCAGGCCAAUUUUCUGAAUUGCUUGGAUGCAUGUGAGAAGUGUGACCCACGCAGCAGUAACACUCCCGUCUUAACGAGCAUUUCAACCCACACCAGCUGCGUAAUAAUCUUGUGAAGCGACACUGCACUGUGCUUCUUGCCUCGCUGUAUGAAUGAGGAGCUAACUUCACCAACAGCCAUUAAUAGCUCAUACCUACACUUUAUAUACACACUGUGAAAUGUCCUGAACUCUGUUCAAAUGAUUCAUUUAUACAUCCAUCAUUCAUCAGUAGCCUCCCUGGUCUCAGUUCCAGAUCACCUCUGGAUCCACUUGGACCUAGAACCGGUUCUUUUCUGUUAAAGCGUCCUUGACUGUUUGUUGUAAGAAAGCAGCAAUCUUUUCAAUUCAGUUCAGCACCAGAACCUUUACAUCAAGAGCAACAUUACUUUGCUGCCAUGACAACAACUUUAGAUAUUUACAUGGCACUACUAAAGCACAUCAUGAACAAUGUGAACUUGUUGAAAAGACUCCUGAUGAAAAAUGAUCAAGGGUGAACGCUCUGAAGAAGACACAUAAGGCAAGUGCACCAUACUGAACAGUAGGAGGCAGAGUCAUUAUCAUUACAAGCUAAUUACACAUUGCCACCAUGAGUUGUAUUUACACCCGUACAUUAGAGAUCUAACGCGUGUCGUAAUGUUACGCCUCUCAGUUUUGUGGACAUAAAAAAUAAGCCGGUGCAGCACUGCGUUGGUGGAAACAUGGCACCGGAUCCUUUCUCCAGUCAUUCGAUUUACUAAUUGUUUUGUCCACACUGUGUGUAUGCAGGAAAGGCAAAAAUCAAUCUACACUCUCUUCAUCUCAUCAAGUGGAAUAUUCAUCAUUAUGCCGCUGAACUCCAGUCAACACACAGAGGCUUUGAUCUUGCUCUAGUUUCGUGGCUGAUCGAACACAAAGGUCUGAGUGAUUCUGCCACCCACAUACGAUACACACCACAUACUGACUAUCACACGGACGUGCCAGCAUUCGGAAAGAACCCACAACUGAGAGACUAGAAACCUGUAAUAAACUGCACAGAUCAACUGCACCUACAGCAGCUUCUCACCAGCAGCCCCUGGUUUCUACAUCGGCAGGUUUCUAGAUCAGCAUUCUAUCAAUUAUGCAUCAAAUGAAUGCCAGAGGUCCAGAUUUGUGCAACCAGUGAGUAAAAAUAGUGUAUACAGAAAGCAGUUUGGGCCUGAGUGCUCAUGAGCAUGAUGGGUUAUUUGGGUAGAAGUAGUUUUCAUAUAUGAUCAGAAAUGUUCGUAUAACCCCGAAUGUAUUAUCUAUACACUCAGACUGUAUAUGACUGUAGAAAGGACAUUAUUCAUUAUAACACUCCGGUGUUUACAACAGUUUAUAAUCACACCCUCCAAUGUCACCCAAAUGAG